AGUGAACGCUGGCGGUAGGCCUAACACAUGCAAGUCGAACGGCAGCACAGUAAGAGCUUGCUCUUACGGGUGGCGAGUGGCGGAUGGGUGAGGAAUACAUCGGAAUCUACUUUUUCGUGGGGGAUAACGUAGGGAAACUUACGCUAAUACCGCAUACGACCUACGGGUGAAAGCAGGGGAGCUUCGGACCUUGCGCGUUUGAAUGAGCCGAUGUCGGAUUAGCUAGUUGGCGGGGUAAAGGCCCACCACGGCGACGAUCCGUAGCUGGUCUGAGAGGAUGAUAGGCCACACUAGAACUGAGACACGCUCCAUACUACUGCGGGAGGCAGCAGUCGGGAAUAUUGGACAGUAGGCGCAAGCCUGAUCCAGUCAUCCCGCGUGGGUGAAGAAGGCCUUCGGGUUGUGAAGCCCGUUUGUUGGGAGUGAACAGCAGCAGGUUGAUACCCAGCUGUUGUGACGGUACCCAAAGAAUAAGCACCGGCUAACUUCGUG
rnacentral:rRNA from 1 species